rnacentral:rRNA from 1 species
UGAGGAAUCUUCCGCAAUGGGCGAAAGCCUGACGGAGCGACACCGCGUGGAGGAUGACGCGUUUAUUCGUGUAAACUCCUUUUCUAUGGGAAGAUAAUGACGGUACCAUAGGAAUAAGGGACGGCUAACUACGUGCCAGCAGCCGCGGUAAUACGUAGGUCCCGAGCGUUAUCCGGAAUUACUGGGCGUAAAGAGUUCGUAGGCGGUCCGUUAAGUUCGGCAUGAAAGACCGGGGCUCAACCCCGAGUUUGUGCCGGAUACUGGCGGACUCGAAUCCGGGAGAGGUUGGCAGAAUGGUACGAGUAGGGGUGCAAUCCGUUGAUACGUACUGGAAUACCGAAAGCGAAGGCAGCCAACUGGAACGGUAUUGACGCUGAGGAACGAAAGCGUGGGGAGCGAA